UCAGCAUGAGGGAGCCCAUGGACGUUGAACUAACCAGAUCUCUGCAGAUCACAUGAAAAACGGUUUCUUUCUUCUGGAUCCUUCAGACUUUUCCCAGCCUUGUUUACAGAAGUCAGUAUGAACAGUAACGGGCAUUCACAAAUGUGCUUUAGAGGAACCUUUGGGGAAGGUGUCUCAGAGUGCUUUGUCAUUUGCUGACAAACUGGUGCCAGGACCAGAACUUAAUGAAGUCUUCAGAGAAAAUUUUGUGGCAGAUCAGGGAAUCUCAAAGGUAUGGACCUGCAGUAAAACUGCUGUAACAGAUGAUUUAUUUACCUUUAUUCAUCUCUUGAAAGGCUGAAAGUUCAGCUUUGUGGCAAGCUUUAAUAUUACCUUCUUAGUUGCACCCAUGUUGUUAUUUUUCAGGUUUUCUGGCAUUCCAAAAAAAUAGGCCAGGGCAGUAGCUUGGAUUUAUUUGCAGUUUAUCUCCCAGUGAUAUCUCCAGUCUUUAAAGCCUACUGAGCACCUCUGCUAUGCUGCCAAUGCAAAUUACCUUGGACCAUCAGGCAGGAGAGGGCCGAGUUGGUAUGCUGCUGAUUCUCUGUUGCCUUCCACACUCUGGAGCUGGAUUCAUGUCAGCAAGUACUUAUGAAACAAAGUUCAGAGGAGCACUGGAGAUGAUGCAAUAUGAAACACAUCCGCAGAGGAAGAAGCACCAGGUAAUAAACCAAAUUUACUUUCCUCUCUGCAGGUGGAGAUAUUGCAAGAAGAGGUUUUAGAAAUAGCUGUUCUAGGUUCCAAGCUUUGGGCAUGACCCAGAAAGUAGAAGGAGCUGGAUAAUGUGUGCCCCUCGUAGCCUGUAUGCCUGGGGAGCUGCUUACGCCUUCUGCCCAGUGCGGCCCUGAAGUUGAGCAAGAGAAAAGUUCUCAGCUGAAGGGGGAAAAAAUUGAGGGGAAAGGCACA
rnacentral:lncRNA from 1 species